UGUGAAUGUGGGCUGCCUGUUACCGGAGCACACUUUGCUCCCAUCCCCCAUCAACACUGAGCAAUGGCGGCUACCCUUUUUUGCGUGCCGCUUUGUCCUUCUCAGUUCAGCUUGUAAAAGCCAUGUGUACAAAAGUCGGUAAGGAAAAUACGUGUUUGCCCUUGUGUUUCAUAAGAAUGCGCGUCAGUUCAUGAGCACAUUAUAAUUAUUUUCCGCACUUCUCUCAUCGCAUGUCUUUUAUGUCGCACUGCUUUUUUUCCCUCCUCCACGGCGGGGCAUUUCUCUGUGGGUCCUAACAAUGGAGGCGGAGGAAAUGAGCCACCAGCACUGUUCACUGCACCCGCUCACUGAGCCCGAACAGCCCGAAUCACGGCGUCAGAGCCGGCUGUGUGUGUGUUGUUCGACGGGCACUGUGUUUAUUUGUGUCUCGACCUUGGCGCACGAAUUUAUGGGCUGUUAUGUAAAAAAAAAAAAAAAGCCCUCAAGAGUGUCAAGUGCGCACAUACAGGGAUGAGUUUCAAACAUGGACGUCGGGAAGGGGCGGGGCGACGAAGAGCUGCGAUGUGACAUGGCGGCGCCGCUCCACAUUUACACUCUGAGCGCCUUGUAUCUGACUGAUGUUGUUCACAUGGAGCUUGAGAUGUGACACUAACUUUUGGGGAGAAAAGCCCGAUUUAAUCCGUAAUAACAUCCGUGUCGUCCACGUUUCCCUCCCAAACACUUCGCCUCUAUUCCCCCGUCGCGGCGGUGGGCGGGAGAAACCGUCUGAAGUCGCCGCUUGACUCGUCCAGACGCACAUCAAUCAAUCAAAGUGACACUACGUCAACCGAAGCGCUCUCGAUUCGACAUAUUUACUGCGUAACUCGACGGAAACUCGAUUUUCUUGCGCUCACGGUGCUGUGGAGCUGCCACGGUUCCGGCUCCGGUCCGUUUUGUGGGCUUUUAUCGACUCUGAUUAUUGUUUUAGGGGAGAAAGGGACGGUUGCAGCGAUAGAAUAGGAGGGGGCGUGGCCUUUGGGUUAAGAAAUCCUAUCCAUUGUUACUCUACGCGCUAGGAGAACACCUCUGCCGAGCCUCUGGCCAAUCAGAGACCACCGACCUCAUGAAGACCCCGCCCACAAGCCUAUAUUAAAGGCUCGGCCGUCAGAAGCAUUGGCCACUGGCACAAUAUAAUACUGAUUGAUCCGCUAACCGAGACGAGGGGAUUUACUUUAUUCAACCUUUCAUUUCAGCCGUCCUUUAUUUUAUUCUACUAAACAAUGGCAGACACACAGGUCGACUCCGGCUCGGAUAUCUCUGCCAAGGACCUGAAAGAGAAGAAGCUGGUGGAGGAGAAGGAGAACGGCAAAGACGCCGCCACCAAUGGGAAGGAGAAUGAAGAGAACGGUGAGCCCGAGGUAGAUGACGAGGAGGACGAGGAGGUGGACGAGGAAGAAGAGGAAGAUGAUGGAGAAGGUGAUGAGGAAGAUGAGGAGGAGGACGACGACGAGAUUGAGGGUGGCACAAAACGGGCAGCUGAGGAUGACGAGGACGACGACGAGGACGACGUCGAAACCAAGAAGCAGAAAACCGACGAUGACGAUUGAUGCGUUUCCCCCGCGCCAUCCUGCUGAACCACUUCCUGAUUCUUCACCUCUGACCAUUUUUCUAUGUCGCAGUUUCUCUCUCGGCAGCGAUCCCGUCAGACCAAAUCGGUGCUUCUCUAACGAAAGAUUUUACUUGGUUGACCAUGUUACGAUAUCUCAACAGAUCUUAGAAAAACGUGUAAAAAAAUAAAAUGAAUAAAAACAUGAAAGACAACCUCUUAAGCCGUUGAACUCAGAGCAUUCCAGUAAAUUUAAUGUAUGUACUUUAGCUGUACCAUAACUAGUUUGUUUGUAUGGGAGGGUAAGGCCAAAGAAAAGAGCCUCUUUUCUUUUUCCUUUCUUUUGGUUUUUUUUCUUUUGGUUUUGUUUUUGUCAGCGACUUUUUGUUUUAUGACGGCCUGUUUUGAUGUAUGUGCAAAGUUUGUUGUUUGACAAUAAACCGGACUUUUAUUUUGUGAGUUGUACUUUGUAUCUCUGCCCCUUUUUAUUUGUGCUUUGCUCUCCUGUGAGGAAGAGGAAGCAGUGCAGGUAAACCUGAGGUCUGCUUUUACUUUAGGGUCACAACAGCGAGGAGGUGGGUCCAGCACAUCUUAUUGGACAUUUUACACUCAUUACAUCCAUAUAAUUCAUAUUACAUAAAAGUUAAGGUUUGGUACUAAAAUAAACUGGCGGUUCCAAAAGACUAAAUGUGGUUUAUUUCUUUUGGAUUUUUCUCUUCUUUUUGUCUAUAUUGCAAACAUGCAAACAGAAGCAGUUCUGAUAGUUGAAAGUUGUAAGAAUAACAUAAUGUGUCACAUAAAUAAGGGUUUCUGCAUGAAUUUAAAGUCUUAACAUUAAAAUAAAGCAUAUUAAGGUCUGAGAAGC
ensembl:lncRNA